ACUUAAAUAGUUUAAGAUAGAAUAUUGACUUGUGGUGUCAAUGAUGUGUUUAGCACUUUAAGUA
rnacentral:tRNA from 1 species